rnacentral:antisense_RNA from 1 species
CUUGAGCGAUCCCAGCAGCAGCGGUUGGUCGGCCGCCCGACCCUGCCCGUACGUGGCCAGCAGCGCCUGCGCCUC